UUUUGACUUAAAAAAUUCACAAUCCCUAACCAGUGAGACAGAGAGAGAGAAGCUAUUUCAAUGGCGAUACAGAGCUCGAGCUCGAUCAAAAUUCAUGCUUUAGGCUAUACAACUCAAACCCCUUCUCUGUUUGAAGGGAGCUUCUGUGGGGAACUAUUUCUGAGGCACUUGGGGAAGGAAUGACUCAUCCAGUUGUCUCUGUAAAUACGUGCAUUCAGAGCCAAGCUAAUCUUUGUGAAAGUCAGGGGUAUGAUCAUAGAGUAGAGAUGUUAUGGAUCUAACAUUCAUGGCUAAUGGGUUUUAAGUUUUCUCUCAUUUGGCAUAUACUGGUCCACACUCGCAAGGGAUGUGCCAUUCCUGGUCUAAUGGUAAUGUUGAAUAGUGAUAGCUUGUAUGUCUCAUCCCUUUUCUUUUGGCCUUUACCACAAUUGCUUGGUAACAAUAGGAAAAUACGACUGCAACUCCUAAUAGCCAAAGUUUAUUCUAAUAGGUUUGCCACUCCUUGACAUGCACUCCCCCACACUUGUUUAUUGCCUUGUUUCGUCCCAAAAAGAAAAAUUCAGAGCUACCGUGUUUUGGUCAUUGGUGAAUCAUAGGCAGUUCGGCUUUUGGCUUCUAAAUGAUCUUCUUGUCAUUUUUUUGUUGCUCUUUCCUGAACAAGCUCUCGUUCUUAUUUCUAGUAUAAUAGU